GAUCUGGAUCCACCCGAUCACAGAAACCAGCCAAGACGGCACGGGCGAACGUAUUGUCGACGAUGUUUUGGUGCAUUUUAUGGAGCAUUCGAAAGCGAAAUUGCACAGAAGAGCCGUUUCGUAUUUGUGUGAUACAUUCGGAAUGUUGGUUACUAAAAUUGGAAUGGAUCACUUUGAAAGGUGGGGGAAAAUCGAUAAUUUUUGAGAGAAAUUGAAAAAAAAUCGAUAAUUUCCCUGCAAAAAUCAAUAUUUUUCAGCGUAUCAGAACGAGCUUUUGGUCUACUUUAUGCGUCGCUAAGCAAGUCUGAAACUGAUUUUUCUGCUGAUCAGCUGGUAAAAUUCUCGGCAAUGUUUAUCUAUGCGGCUCAAGUGAAUUUUGAUAAAU
rnacentral:sRNA from 1 species